AAGGGAGACCUAAUUCGGGUAUAAGACGAAAAAAGAGUAGUCGAAACCAAGAAUCAACCCCAAAAGGUCGGAACGAGGUAUGUGGCUUUCAAACUAGGUUCUGGGUUCACACAAGACCUGAAUCAGGAACAAGGGCUAUUAGCUCAGGUGGUUAGAGCGCACCCCUGAUAAGGGUGAGGUCCCUGGUUCGAGUCCAGGAUGGCCCACCUGCACAGGUGGCAAAAACAAAGAAGCGAGGAAUCAGCACCUUAUCUUAUCUAUAUAUAAGAGAGAAUGCUGGCUCUGAGUAAAGAGUCCAGAGGAACCUUGAAAACUGCAUAGAGCUAGGUGAAAAAGCCAAAAAAGAAGACCGCAA
rnacentral:tRNA from 1 species